CCACUCAGCAGCAAGGAAGUGUGGGUGUGGUCAGCCCAGCUCAGGACAAGUGCCCUAGGAAGAAGAGGGCAGUUCCCAUUCACACCAUAGGAGGCGGCUGAGGAGCACCUUGGGAAAACAGGGGCCCUUCCGAGCAGACAAAACAACGACUGUUCAUUCUGUUCUUCGGCACAGAGAUCUGGGGAGUCAGGCCUGCCCCUACCACCUGCUCCUCUCAGGAGAAGCAGGGAGGACUGGACUGGUUGUCCGCAACUGAUGACAGUUGUGCAGCGGGGCUGAGAACGUAUUAUAAUCCCCAUUUUGUUAUGCGGGCGUUUCCACUGUACCUGGGCUACUUCCCCCCACAAUUGCACAUCAGGCCCUGAAAGAGAUGCUGCUGGAGAAGUGGGGCCCAGUCUGCACACAAGGUGUGCGUGCGCGCUGAGAGCUACGAUUACUCCGUGGCCAUCGUCGCUAUUGUUACACAGCUCCUCCUGUCAAGAGGUGGGAACUGUCCUCCCUCCCAUCGACUCUGGGGCACCUGUGACCUGCCGUGACCAACGGAAUGCAGCCGAUGGGAGCUGUGGGACCUGGCGAGGCUUCCGUUCUGGCCAUUUUGGAGCGCAGCGCCCCUGUGGAGAAGCCCGGCCAGCCUGCAGAGACCAGGCGCAAAGAGAGAAGCCGCUGUCCUCCAGCCUUCUGGGAUCCCCGCCGAGCGACACACAGAGGCCACCUGGGAUCCUCAGCUCCAGCCAGGUCUCCCCCAUCGACACCCACACGGCAGAUGAUGUCCUCACCAAGCCCUGCCCAAGUGGCAGAACUGGGGACAAAUAAAUGGUUAUUGUUUUAAGCCACUAAAUUUUGGGGUGUCGUUAUGCAA